CCUACGGGAGGCAGCAGUGGGGAAUAUUGGACAAUGGGGGCAACCCUGAUCCAGCAAUGCCGCGUGUGUGAUGAAGGCCUUAGGGUUGUAAAACACUUUCACUGGUGAAGAUGAUGACGGUAACCAGAGAAGAAGCCCCGGCUAACUUCGUGCCAGCAGCCGCGGUAAUACGAAGGGGGCGAGCGUUGUUCGGAAUUACUGGGCGUAAAGGGAGCGCAGGCGGUUCAUUCAGUUAGGCGUGAAAGCCCCGGGCUCAACCUGGGAACUGCGCUUAAUACUGAUGAGCUAGAAAACAGGAGAGGGUAGUGGAAUUUCCAGUGUAGAGGUGAAAUUCGUAGAUAUUGGAAAGAACACCGGUGGCGAAAGCGGCUACCUGGCCUGAUUUUGACGCUGAGGCUCGAAAGCGUGGGGAGCAAACAGGAUUAGAUACCCUGGUAGUCCACGCCGUAAACGAUGACAGCUAGAUGUCGGGGGGUUGCCUCGCGGUGUCGCCGCUAACGCAUUAAGCUGUCCGCCUGGGAAGUACGGUCGCAAGAUUAAAACUCAAAUGAAUUGACGG
rnacentral:rRNA from 1 species